rnacentral:lncRNA from 1 species
GGAACUAUUGACCGAAGAGCCUUACUACCAGAGCUAGCGGGAUAGCUCAGCUCCUACUAUAAGCUAAUGAAGAGCUACUAUCACCAAGAGAGGGAUUACAACCCUUUCCGACAGACUGCUCGAAUGGACAGACUCAUUAAGAGAAGUGCGACCUCAGCACCGCAUCUAUCGCCCGGGCUAACUGCCCCCCGUUUCCCAAUAUACUUAUUUUGUUUGCAUGGGCCUAUUCCUAUCUAUAAGUGGAAUUCCCUUUCUAGGCCUAAAAGAAGUUAUGGGGGGUUCAUGUUCCUAUAGUGACCUAUUGCACCCCUUUAUCUUAGGUUUCACACUAAGACUAAUGAGCACUAAAAUGAUGCUUGGGGAUUGCUUCUGCCCGUACUGUGCUUCCAACUACCGCCCACUACAUCAGUCUAGUUUAAAAAAAAGCUGCUGCUAGCUUUAUUGACGCAACCAGAGGUGCGAAGCGAAAGCGAGGUACGUGCCGAUUUCCUAUUAGCUGUACUGAUGAGCUAGUUUGCUAUAUUUCUUCUGUCUACAUGGUUG